AUUGAACGCUGGCGGUAUGCUUAACACAUGCAAGUCGAACGGCAGCACAGUAUGUAGCAAUACAUAUGGGUGGCGAGUGGCGGACGGGUGAGUAACGCGUAGGAAUCUACCCUAAAGCGGGGGACAACCCGAGGAAACUCGGGCUAAUACCGCAUAAUCUCGAAAGAGUAAAGCUGGGGCAACCUGACACUUUAGGAGGAGCCUGCGUCCGAUUAGCUAGUUGGUGAGGUAAGGGCUCACCAAGGCGAUGAUCGGUAGCUGGUCUGAGAGGAUGCUCAGCCAGCCUGGGACUGAGACACGGCCCAGACUCCUACGGGAGGCAGCAGUGGGGAAUAUUGGACAAUAGGGGCAACCCUGAUCCAGCAAUGCCGCGUGUGUGAAGAAGGCCUUAGGGUUGUAAAGCACUUUAGUUGGGGAAGAAGGAGAGUUGUUUAAGAGAUGAUUAUUUUGACGGUACCCAAAGAAUAAGCACCGGCUAACUCUGUGCCAGCCGCCGCAGUAA
rnacentral:rRNA from 1 species